rnacentral:rRNA from 1 species
CUAAGAAUAUUCCGCAAUGGACGGAAGUCUGACGGAGCGACGCCGCGUGGAUGACGAAGGCCGAAAGGUUGUAAAGUUCUUUUGCUGGGGAAGAAUAACCGCAGGAGGGAAUGCCUGUGGGAUGACAAGAACCGGCGAAUAAGCCCCGGCAACUACGUGCCGGCAGCCGCGGUAACACGUAGGGGGGCCGAGCGUUGUUCGGAAUUACUGGGCGUAAAGGGCAUGUAGGCGGCUUGGAAAGCCUGGCGUGAAAAGUCUGCAGGCUUAAACUGCAGGGGUGCGCUGGGAACUGCUGAGCUUGAGUGACGGAGAGGGAGCUGGAAUUCCUGGUGUAGGGGUGAAAUCUGUAGAUAUCAGGAAGAACACCGAUGGCGAAGGCAAGCUCCUGGCCGAUGACUGACGCUGAGGCGCGAAAGUGUGGGGAUCAAACAGGAUUAGAUACCCUGGUAGUCCAGCACAGUCAACGAUGUGCACCUAGGUGCUGGGGCGGUAGCUUCGGUGCCGGAGCG